rnacentral:rRNA from 1 species
CGCUGGCGGCAGGCUUAACACAUGCAAGUCGAACGCGUGUAGCAAUACACGAGUGGCGCACGGGUGAGUAACGCGUGGAUAUCUGCCUUUUGGUUCGGAAUAACCCCGGGAAACUGGGGCUAAUACCGGAUGGUUCCUUCGGGAUAAAGAUUUAUCGCCAAAAGAUGAGUCCGCGUACGAUUAGCUAGUUGGUGAGGUAAUGGCUCACCAAGGCGACGAUCGUUAGCUGGUCUGAGAGGACGAUCAGCCACACUGGGACUGAGACACGGCCCAGACUCCUACGGGAGGCAGCAGUGGGGAAUAUUGGACAAUGGGGGCAACCCUGAUCCAGCCAUGCCGCGUGAGUGAUGAAGGCCUUCGGGUUGUAAAGCUCUUUUGGCGGGGACGAUGAUGACGGUACCCGCAGAAUAAGCCCCGGCUAACUUCGUGCCAGCAGCCGCGGUAAGACGAAGGGGGCUAGCGUUGUUCGGAAUUACUGGGCGUAAAGCGAGUGUAGGUGGUUGUCCAAGUUGGAUGUGAAAGCCUUGAGCUCAACUCAAGAAAUGCAUUCAGGACUGGGCGGCUAGAGGACCGGAGAGGAUAGUGGAAUUCCCAGUGUAGUGGUGAAAUACGUAGAGAUUGGGAAGAACACCAGUGGCGAAGGCGGCUAUCUGGACGGUUUCUGA